UGCGUAGGUGGCGCCGUAAGUCGGGUGUGAAAUUUCGGAGCUUAACUCCGAAACUGCAUUCGAUACUGCGGUGCUUGAGGACUGGAGAGGAGACUGGAAUUUACGGUGUAGCGGUGAAAUGCGUAGAUAUCGUAAGGAAGACCAGUGGCGAAGGCGGGUCUCUGGACAGUUCCUGACGCUGAGGCACGAAGGUCAGGGGGAGCAAACGG
rnacentral:rRNA from 1 species